UACGAAGGGGGCUAGCGUUGCUCGGAAUGACUGGGCGUAAAGGGCGCGCAGGCGGCUCAUUUUGUCAGGCGUGAAAGCCCCGGGCUUAACCUGGGAACUGCGUUUGAUACGGAUGGGCUAGAGUUCGGGAGAGGAGAGUGGAAUUCCCAGUGUAGAGGUGAAAUUCGUAGAUAUUGGGAAGAACACCGGUGGCGAAGGCGGCUCUCUGGACCGAGACUGACGCUGAGGCGCGAAAGCGUGGGGAGCAAACAGG
rnacentral:rRNA from 1 species